rnacentral:hammerhead_ribozyme from 1 species
AGGCUGAUGAGUCCCGAAUAGGACGAAACGCGCGUCCUGGAU